GUCGAACGGAGCGCCGGACACGGACUAUUUCGGUAGGAAGCGUGCCGAUGCUUAGUGGCGGACGGGUGAGUAACGCGUGGAUAACCUGCCGCAUACCGGGGGAUAACAGCUGGAAACAGCUGCUAAUACCGCAUAUGCCCGCAGUGCCGCAUGGCACAGCGGGGAAAACUCCGGUGGUAUGCGAUGGGUCCGCGUCUGAUUAGGCAGUUGGCGGGGUAACGGCCCACCAAACCGACGAUCAGUAGCCGGCCUGAGAGGGCGGACGGCCACACUGGGACUGAGACACGGCCCAGACUCCUGCGGGAGGCAGCAGUGGGGAAUAUUGCACAAUGGGGGAAACCCUGAUGCAGCGACGCCGCGUGAAGGAAGAAGUAUCUCGGUAUGUAAACUUCUAUCAGCAGGGAAGAAAACAGACGGUACCUGACUAAGAAGCCCCGGCUAACUACGUGCCAGCAGCCGCGGUAAUACGUAGGGGGCAAGCGUUAUCCGGAUUUACUGGGUGUAAAGGGGGCGCAGACGACCAUGGCAAGCCCGGUGUGAAAGGCAGGGGCAUAACCCCUGGACUGCACUGGGAACUGUCAGGCUGGAGUGCCGGAGGGGUAAGCGGAAUUCCUGGUGUAGCGGUGAAAUGCGUAGAUAUCAGGAGGAACACCGGCGGCGAAGGCGGCUUACUGGAC
rnacentral:rRNA from 1 species